rnacentral:rRNA from 1 species
GACGAACGCUGGCGGCGUGCUUAACACAUGCAAGUCGAACGGAGAACCUCUUCGGUGGGGAUCAGUGGCGAACGGGUGAGUAACACGUUGGCAACCUGCUCCCGUCUCUGGGAUAACUCCAAGAAAUCGGGGCUAAUACCGGAUGUUCACCGCUUCUCGCAUGGGGGGUGGUGGAAAGGGUUUCCGGCUGGGGGUGGGCCCGCGGCGUAUCAGCUUGUUGGUGGGGUAGUGGCCUACCAAGGCGACGACGGGUAGCCGGCCUGGGAGGGUGACCGGCCACACGGGGACUGAGACACGGCGCAGACGCGUACGGGAGGCAGCAGUGGGGAAUAUUGCGCAAUGGGCGGAAGCCUGACGCAGCGACGCCGCGUGGGGGAUGACGGCCUUCGGGUUGUAAACCUCUUUCAGCAGGGACGAAGCGGAAGUGACGGUACCUGCAGAAGAAGCACCGGCCAACUACGUG